GAAGUUAGCGGCGGACGGGUGAGUAACACGUGGGUAACCUGCCCAUAAGACUGGGAUAACUCCGGGAAACCGGGGCUAAUACCGGAUAACAUUUUGAACUGCAUGGUUCGAAAUUGAAAGGCGGCUUCGGCUGUCACUUAUGGAUGGACCCGCGUCGCAUUAGCUAGUUGGUGAGGUAACGGCUCACCAAGGCAACGAUGCGUAGCCGACCUGAGAGGGUGAUCGGCCACACUGGGACUGAGACACGGCCCAGACUCCUACGGGAGGCAGCAGUAGGGAAUCUUCCGCAAUGGACGAAAGUCUGACGGAGCAACGCCGCGUGAGUGAUGAAGGCUUUCGGGUCGUAAAACUCUGUUGUUAGGGAAGAACAAGUGCUAGUUGAAUAAGCUGGCACCUUGACGGUACCUAACCAGAAAGCCACGGCUAACUACGUGCCAGCAGCCGCGGUAAUACGUAGGUGGCAAGCGUUAUCCGGAAUUAUUGGGCGUAAAGCGCGCGCAGGUGGUUUCUUAAGUCUGAUGUGAAAGCCCACGGCUCAACCGUGGAGGGUCAUUGGAAACUGGGAGACUUGAGUGCAGAAGAGGAAAGUGGAAUUCCAUGUGUAGCGGUGAAAUGCGUAGAGAUAUGGAGGAACACCAGUGGCGAAGGCGACUUUCUGGUCUGUAACUGACACUGAG
rnacentral:rRNA from 1 species